rnacentral:rRNA from 1 species
GACGAACGCUGGCGGCAUGUCUAAUACAUGCAAGUCGAGCGAACAGAUGAAGUGCUUGCACUUCUGACGUUAGCGGCGAACGGGUGAGUAACACGUAAGGAAUCUACCUAUAAGCGGGGGAUAACAUUCGGAAACGGGUGCUAAUACCGCAUAAUAUCUUCUUCCGCAUGGAAGAAGAUUGAAAGACGGCUCUGCUGUCACUUAUAGAUGACCUUGCGGUGCAUUAGUUAGUUGGUGGGGUAAUGGCCUACCAAGACGAUGAUGCAUAGCCGACCUGAGAGGGUGAUCGGCCACAUUGGGACGGGGACACGGCCCAAACUCCUACGGGAGGCAGCAGUAGGGAAUCUUCCGCAAUGGGCGAAAGCCUGACGGAGCAAUGCCGCGUGAGUGAAGAAGGCCUUCGGGUCGUAAAACUCUGUUAUAAGAGAAGAACAAAUUGUAGAGUAACUGCUACAGUCUUGACGGUAUCUUAUCAGAAAGCCACGGCUAACUACGUGCCAGCAGCCGCCGUAA